rnacentral:rRNA from 1 species
CACGUAGGGUGCGAGCGUUGUCCGGAAUUAUUGGGCGUAAAGAGCUCGUAGGCGGUCUGUUGCGUCUGCUGUGAAAACCCGGGGCUUAACCCCUGGCUUGCAGUGGAUACGGACAGACUAGAGGUAGGUAGGGGAGAAUGGAAUUCCCGGUGUAGCGGUGAAAUGCGCAGAUAUCGGGAGGAACACCGGUGGCGAAGGCGGUUCUCUGGGCCUUACCUGACGCUGAGGAGCGAAAGCGUGGGGAGCGGACAGG